AUCGGGAGGACGCAGCCUUCGAAAUCUAAAAUAUUAAUAAAAGUACCAAGUUAUAUCAUUUGAAAGUUCUAAAGGUUUACUGUCAAUUUACAGUGUCUUUUUUACGAAUUUAGAUGCUCCAACACCAGUAAUUAAUUUGUGUCAGGUGUGCAAAUGACAACACGCCAAAUCAGACGGGACUUCAUACCUUUAUAAUGAAAUCGUGAUCCCGAGAUCAAUCCAAUCUGUCGCACUUGGGUAAAAUGUCCAUGAGUGUCCAUUGCAAAACAAAAAACAGUACUUUUUGUCCACAAAAGCAUUAAAUCCAUGAAAUAUUGAUAUAUUGUCCAUUGUUUGCAUCACAUUUCUUCUGAACGAUCUGCUCUCCAUCAUCGUUCUUCAAGAAAUUAUGCAACCUGAGCAGCGUUUAUGUUGUAAAACUGUAAAUGAUCGUAUUUAUCUCACAAACAUGAGCCCGCGUCCAAAGUAUAAUUUUUCAAAAUGCAGCAGUUUUAUUUAUAAUAUCCAAGCAGUGCUGUCAGAGUUUAAUAUCCUCCUGCUACUGUCAUUGUAGUAAAUCUCAGGAACAAAACUUUUAGCCAAUGCCACGAUCCAACAGCGUGUUCUGUUUAUCUGUCUCGACCUUUAACGCAGCAAGCCAUAUCAUUUUAUAAUUGUAUAUAUUAUUAUUUUAUAAUUGUAUAAAAUAAUCCUGAAAAAAAAACACAAACACGGCAGAGAUGCCAAAUUCAGCGGCUGGAAUUAGCUGAGGUAAAGUGAUGGCUCACUGACAGCAGCGGCAAACCUGUCACUCAAGUGACCACGCCCUUAAUUAUGCAGAACUUUAGGGCUUAAUAUAAUUUAAACAGACGAGAAAAUUCACCCUCCUCAGAGUUGUCAUGAAGGGCAAAAUUAGCUGUAUAGACCAAAACCACAAUUUGAUCCAGGCUGUAAACAUGUUUUUUUCUGCUGUAAAGUUGGCCAUUUUAACAUGGGACUCAGCGUCCCUAGCGGCCAGUCGAUGAAUUGCAGUUUAAGUCACUUCCUUAUUGGCUUCACGAGAAACUGGGGGAGGUUGCCGCUUGAUGACGCACUGGAGCAUGGCCCCGCCCCUAACACAAUCGCGAGUUACUGUCAUUACCGUUAGUUUCUACAGCCUACAUUUUGCUAGGUAGCUAUGCCUUCGUCACGCAAAUGCAUAUUUCCUGGUUGUGAUAAUAUACACAACAGCUCGGUCUCAUUAUUUAAAUUUCCUAAAAACGAUAAUUAUGUAGAAGAGGUAGAUUAAUUUUGUGAAGAGCCACCAACACCCGCCUCUGCAGUGAUCAUUUUACACCGGAUAGUUUUACAAACUUUCAUCAGAGACAACUGGGAUUCACUGAUAAUCCGCUGUGAUUGGUGAAUGGGGCUGAAUCGACUAUCUCCCUCCUCGGCCUUCAUCCUCCUGUCUCGCGGCGCUGACAUCUGGUGCCACAGUCGGCAGUUCCUUCCCACCAAUGAGUAUUGAAGAUGCACCUGACCUGUCCAGCUGCACAAAAGAAAUCCUGGACUGUGGCUACACUGGACCAAUCAACAUUGACCACAAGGAAAGCAUAUUAAGAUAAGUCACCACUGAGAAAAAAUUGUUAGUUGUUAUUGUUCAUUUACAUAAGUAUCAACUCUUGACAUCAGUACAGUGUACAUGAUGUGUGGUAUUAUGGUACAUUUGAAGCAGAUGAAAUUGAGCAAUAGCACUCUUGGAAGUCUUUUUAUAUAUACAGACUUAUACAUAAUAGUAGUUAUUUAAACAAGGAAUUAAUUUCAAUUAUACGAAAAACUGAAUUUUGAAUGCCCUGCUUUUAAAUAUGAAGCUUUUUAUUUAUUUUUUGUCUUUAUUUUUGUUUUUCCAGAGCUCUUGCUUUACAUAUUCAACAAAACGCAUCCCAAUUCUGCAACAGCUGUGCGAGGGCCUUGAGAUACGAUCUUAUCAAAGUCACGCAGAGAAAACCACAGGAGUGUCACAAUCUCUUCGUCAGAGGAUAUGAUGACAAUGUAGAAAUACUGUUUUGAGCAUUUAUUUAUUUUGUAGUUAUUUUUUGUUUUUAGUAUGGCACAAAUUACAAAUAUUAAAAUCCAUUUUUAUGCUUUUCUUUUUGGUGUUUAGGUUGACUCACAUUACAUUUAUCCCACCUGGCCCCAGAGAUGAGCCCAAAGGGUUCGAUUAAACAAGUGAAAGAGUCAAAAUCAAGAUUUCAUACUUGAGCUUGAAGGUAUUGAGUAAAAAAUACUAUAAUCUGUUAUUUGAUAUCCAGGUGUAAAUAUGCUACUGCAGUUCCCAUUUUAAAAGGGUAUAAAUAAACUAAAACAAUCAUUCUGACCCUAACCCCACCAGUGUGAUUAUAACGUUCAGUGCGUCACGUGAUCAGCUGCUAAAUUCAAGUGUGCUUUCGAUUCGUCUGGAGCACUGAGCCAGAGACGGACGAGCUCAGCGCUUGACAUAUGACAGCUAUUUUUCAACCACAUAAGGUUUAUUUUAGGACAUUUAAAUGCACAUAAGUACUAGCAAAACAAUACAUUUAUAGUUUGUAAAAUACACACUUAUGUCUAUGGAAACGGCAAUAGCAAUCCAUUCAAAUAUAAACUGACAAGGUGUUUUAUUCAUAUCAGAUACACAGUGUAAAUAACUAUAAAGUUUACUCUAUUCUUCCACUUUACCGGCCACUUACUUUCAUGUAUUUCGGGAGAAGUGGAUAAAUGGACGUGUUGUAAAUCCCACAGAUGUGACUCUCUGAACUGUGGCGUAAACUAACAUGGCGACGCCCGUCACGCAUUAUAGAUCAUUAUAAAGUUGUUUCAACAACAAACACAUUCACUUACAUGUAUUUGAGAAUGGGAAUAUCAGAUAGUUGAUGACACAGCCAACAAGUUUGUGAAUAUUUUGAAUAAAAAAGGAAAAACAGUAAAAGCGGUACAUCUGUCAUAUAGCGCUAUUGUGGCUGUGGUGUGUCACGUGACAAGCAUGACGCGUCGCCAUGGAAAUAAUACUUUUAAUAAAAUAAUAUCACCCAUGGCAAUAAUACUUUUGUUAUAUAUGUUAUAUAUGAUAAUAUUUUAGUAAUGUUUUCUUUUAAAUGUAUGCUUGUUGGAAACAAUUUUCAGAUUAAAAUAUUUUCCAAACAUCAA